rnacentral:rRNA from 1 species
ACGGAGGAUCCGAGCGUUAUCCGGAUUUACUGGGUUUAAAGGGUGCGUAGGCGGACCCCUAAGUCAGCGGUGAAAUGCGGCGGCUCAACCGUCGAACUGCCGUUGAUACUGGGGGUCUUGGAUUCGGUCGAGGCGGGCGGAAUGCGUGGUGUAGCGGUGAAAUGCUUAGAUAUCACGCAGAACGCCGAUUGCGAAGGCAGCUCGCCGGGCCGUUAUCGACGCUGAGGCACGAAAGCGUGGGGAUCGAACAG